rnacentral:snoRNA from 10 species
AAGACUAUACUCUCAGGGAUCAUUUCUAUAGCUUAUUAAAUAGUAGGUGUUCAAUAGAUUCCAGGUGCCAUUCUUAAAUUGUCAGAUAGGCCAGUCUCUUGCAAU